rnacentral:misc_RNA from 1 species
AACGCACAUUGCGCUCUCUGGUAUUCCGGGGAGCAUGCUCGUUUCAGUAUCAUCACAAUCUCGAAGACAUCCUUUGCUUGUUUUUCAGGCUGAGGCUGUUUUUCGGAUGUGGGCUUUUUUUCCUUUCUGGAAAAUGGCCUGAAAAUGAUAGCCGUUCGCCUCCGGUCGUGAGAUCGGUCGUCACCAAGUGCAACAGAUUUUUGUUUUCUCUUGGACGAUUGAUUGCUACGCUGGAAUAGGCAUGAGCGCACCAGGACAUAGCACAGGGAGGGAUCGGAAGAUCUCUCUCUGAAGACUUGGUCUGAAAUCGAGCAAGAAAACCCGCUGAACUUAA